AGAAUCAACGCUGGCGGCGUGCCUAACACAUGCAAGUCGCACGAGAAAGGGUAGCAAUACCUGAGUAAAGUGGCGCACGGGUGAGUAACACGUGAAUUAUCUACCUCCGAGUGGGGAAUAACUGAGAGAAAUCUUAGCUAAUACCGCAUAACACUUACGAGUCAAAGCAGCAAUGCGCUUGGAGAGGAGUUCGCGGCAGAUUAGUUAGUUGGCGGGGUAAUGGCCCACCAAGACGAUGAUCUGUAUCCGGCCUGAGAGGGCGCACGGACACACUGGAACUGAAACACGGUCCAGACUCCUACGGGAGGCAGCAGUGGGGAAUUUUGCGCAAUGGGGGAAACCCUGACGCAGCAACGCCGCGUGGAGGAUGAAAUAUCUUGGUAUGUAAACUCCUUUCGAUGGGGAAGAUUAUGACGGUACCCAUAGAAGAAGCCCGGCUAACUUCGUGCCAGCAGCCGCGGUAA
rnacentral:rRNA from 1 species